CGCCAAGUGCGACGGGGGACCCCAAGUGCCACUCUUAACGGGGUGGCUUUUCAGAAGUGUAAAAAGCUUCUGGAAUAAGGGCUGGGCAAGACCGGUGCCAGCCGCCGCGGUAACACCGGCAGCUCAAGUGGUAGC
rnacentral:rRNA from 1 species